rnacentral:rRNA from 1 species
GGGGAAUAUUGGACAAUGGGGGGAACCCUGAUCCAGCCAUGCCGCGUGUGUGAAGAAGGCCUUUUGGUUGUAAAGCACUUUAAGCGAGGAGGAGGCUCUUCUAGUUAAUACCUAGGAUGAGUGGACGUUACUCGCAGAAUAAGCACCGGCUAACUCUGUGCCAGCAGCCGCGGUAAUACAGAGGGUGCGAGCGUUAAUCGGAUUUACUGGGCGUAAAGCGUACGUAGGCGGCUUUUUAAGUCGGAUGUGAAAUCCCUGGGCUUAACUUAGGAAUUGCAUUCGAUACUGGGAAGCUAGAGUAUGGGAGAGGAUGGUAGAAUUCCAGGUGUAGCGGUGAAAUGCGUAGAGAUCUGGAGGAAUACCGAUGGCGAAGGCAGCCAUCUGGCCUAAUACUGACGCUGAGGUACGAAAGCAUGGGGAGCAAAC